rnacentral:rRNA from 1 species
UACGAAGGGGGCUAGCGUUGCUCGGAAUCACUGGGCGUAAAGCGCACGUAGGCGGAUUGUUAAGUCAGGGGUGAAAUCCUGGAGCUCAACCCUGGAACUGCCUUUGAUACUGGCGAUCUUGAGUCCGGGAGAGGUGAGUGGAACUGCGAGUGUAGAGGUGAAAUUCGUAGAUAUUCGCAAGAACACCAGUGGCGAAGGCGGCUCACUGGCCCGGUACUGACGCUGAGGUGCGAAAGCGUGGGGAGCAAACAGG